ACGCUCGACACCUACGGGAGGCAGCAGUGGGGGAUAUUGCGCAAUGGGGGAAACCCUGACGCAGCAACGCCGCGUGAAGGACGAAGGUUUUCGGAUUGUAAACUUCUUUUGUUAGGGACGAAGAAAUGACGGUACCUGACGAAUAAGCUCCGGCUAACUACGUGCCAACAGCCGCGGUAAUCUGAGCGGGCUGGCAAGGC
rnacentral:rRNA from 1 species